AAGCUUUUCCUAUUAUCAAUAGUAUUACGUCCAUAGACAGUUAUAAAAGCAAAACUCAAGUCAAGGAGCUAAUGUGAACUUCUCUAUGUAUGUACUGUUCAUCUAUAGGUAAUAACUUGAGGGUCCCAGAUAAUCCAUAUUCUUUCCUUAUUAUUUCUAUAUGUAUGUAUGUAUGGAUGUACUAGUCCCAGCUUCCCGUAUUUGUUGCAUGUUAAUCUUUCACCUUAUGUUUUAAAAUAACUACAAUACUAAUUUUAGUAGUUCUAACAAAUAGUCUUGAAUCCUUUAUUUAGUCCCCUUAUGUUCCAAGUGAUCUACUUCAGUAUUGUUGAGGUAUAAAACAACUUCCAAUCACCCGUCUUAUCCCCAAUUAAACUUUCCUUAUUCCAAUCACCUGUCUUGUCUAUAUGCUUUUGUUCUUUUACAACAAACUUACCUCUUAUCUUUUUCCAAUUUUUUACUUGCUCUGCUUGUACUGGUGGAUUGGUUGAGUGUUUGGACAGGUGUGCAAUAGUACAAACCCUUUGUUCUCUCAGUAUUUCCACUCCCUACAAGUUCUCAUGGAUGACCUUAUUUAGAUAUUCAGCUUGAAUUUUUUUUUUCUUUGCUUCCACUAGUUUUUGGGAGAUCAACGUUGUCCAUAUUUCCUUGGUCCUAUUUCCCUUGAGUCUCAUAGCCCUUCUGAUGUCAUUCAGUCCUAUUUUCACAUGCUCGACCUUGGUUGAGGUGUUUUUGCUUUAGGUCGACACUUAUGACCUAACUAGCAUCAAACACACUAAACAAUAUACAAGCACACAUUCAUAUGUAAUCUCCUAACUAAAUGUUCUAUCAUUAGGGUCCUUAAACUUUAUAUCAUUGGGUAGAGUGUGAGUUAUGUCAACCUUCAUAAGAACUCGGUCAUAAGAAAUUCUAUCUGCAUGUGUCGUGCACUCAUUUGUAUACAAUGGAAUCCCUAGGCUGCUGGUGAUUCUAUUUAGUGACUGAACUCCCAUGCAUAUCAAUAGGAGAUUUGGGAAUUCUACCCAUAAUGGGAUAGUUUUCAUAACCUCUUUGCUGAGAUCAAAGCAGGCAUCCAUGAUUUUACUAUAAUUAGCAUAUUGGACAUCAUAUGAGGACCUGAAUAUAGGACCUCAUCCUUUUCCUUAAUACUAUUCAAUUACACAAGAAAGUAAAUGUCAUUGUGAUAGUAUACCUUAGACUUAGCAAUAUAUUUCCGCUUGUUGAUAUGUAUCUCUGAAUUUCCACAAUUGUAGGAUCAGAUCCCACUACAUACAGUAUCAAUGCAUGCUUCUAUUUAACAGUCCCCAUCUCAAUAUCUGCUUUGCACAAUUCAAUCACCUUAUCACCAUUUUUGAUGGUAGGAGCCACAAAUUAGAGUGUCAUCCCCUGAGUAGCCAAUAAAUUGCCUUGAAAUAGAUUCACCUAUUUUUUCUCGUUAGGUUCCUUUCAAAUUUCCACAUUCAAUUCUAGAAUAGCUCUAUUGGAGUCUUUUUCAGCCCGAUGUCAUCAUUCUUAGCAUUAUGUGUCAUUUGAAUUUCCUUGCCGUUUGUAAUGGCAGCUUGUAUCUUUGAUUGUUUGGCCACCGACAUUGGGAUUUUAACCCAUACAGGAUUGACCACUAUUUUGCUAUAAUUAGUCUUGAGAACAAGUGGCAUUCUCGCCUAUCUUCUUCAAUUUCAUUUAGUUAGUAGUAUUUCCUUUUUUUGUGUUGUCGACCGUCGUCUUCCUCUGCCUUCCUCUCACCAUAUCAGGCUAGGGGGAACUAUUAAUAAUUUAUGCAUAUCGAUAUAUAAUAUAGAAAAUAUGUUGUGCAUUUUUCGACCAUAUUAAUAAACUAGUUGGCCAAAUGAUAUAUGUCCUUUAACUUUCCUAAAUAUAUUUAUCAUAAAAAAGUGUAACGGAAAUUUUGAAAAUUUAGGAAAGAAAGAUAAACUAGCUAUUCAAAAUAUAUACUAAAACAAAUGAAAAAUCUUUUUGGUCACAAUGGCCCAUAUAUGAUACUAAUGCUUGUUCACACUAUAAACUAGUUUUUUUUGUGAUAUUUUUGCCCUUUCUUUUCAAAUCUAAAAUUCCCUCAUUAAUGUAUUUAUUAGCUAUUUUCUAAUAAAUGAGAUACUUUUUCAAUACAUUGAAAAUGAACAUUUUUUAUGAUUGUUCGAUUGUUGAGCUUCCACUUCAAGAAUGUGAUCAACAAGCAAAUACGGGUUGCAUCUGGAUAUAUGGGUUUCCCUUUAAACUUUCGGUAGUGAACAUGCAUCGGAUGUACUUGGUCAAUUGGUAGAUUUGAUAUCUUUGAACUGUCAAACUUUAAUGUACACCUAGAUAACACAUGUCACACAACUAGUCUUUUACCAUUUAUGGUUCUCACGAUUUUGUUCACUUCAAUCAUGAACACGUCCUAGUUUGAUGAGAGCGUAGAGAAUAGGAAUUUACUAACAUUCUUUUUUAAGUGGCUUUCACUUCACCCUCACAUAGGUGAUUUCUAAAUGUUCAAUCCUACAGAUUAAACUAUUUGGUCAAAUCUUCCAAAUUUAGAUAACCAUUAAGAAGAUUCACACCAUAAGUCUUAUCCUUGUUUCCUAAAUAUUGUCUACAUCAUGAGAAUUGGUUGAGUAUAUUAACAAUGUUGAACUGUCAAUAACAACUUUGUUUGAUCUCCUUGAACCUAGCUCUUGGGAUCUUCAGUCCACUAGGUAAAGUAACCACCUUGCUGACUUAUCUUAGGCCAUAAACCCAUUCUCUUUGAUGUUUUUUUAACUCCCUCUCUAGAUAUGCCUUUGUAAGUGGAUCCGACACAUUAUCCUUUAACUUCACAUAGUCAACAGUGAUAAUUCUUCUAGAUAGUAUUUCUCUAAUGAUAUUAUGUCUCCAUGUUAUAUGAGAGAUUUAUUAUUAUACAUCAUGCUUCCUGCCCUACCUAUCACCGCUUAGCUAUCACGGUGUAUAUAUACUGGUGAUAAUAGUUUGGGCCAAUAUGAAAUAUCUUUCCAAAAAUUUUGAAGUCAUUCAACUUCUUCACUAGUUUUAUCUAAUGCAAUAUAUUCAGAUUCCAUUAUAGAGCGGGCAAUACAUGUCUAUUUCGAUGAUUUUCAAGACUGCUUCUCUACCUAAAUUAAAUACAUAUCCACUCAUGAAUUUUACUUCAUUGAAAUCUAAAUACUUGAACUUGUCAAGUACUUUUUCUAUAUAAUGAGACUGUGACAACGCCAACCCCUAUGGAGUUUUAUGGAUUCUGAUUCCUAAAUUCACAUCCAUAACUCCAAGGUCAUUCAUAUCAAACUUGUUCUCAAACAUUCGUUUCAAAGCAUUUAUGUCAGAAAUGUCUUUACUGAUGAUCAACAUAUCAUCCAUACACAAAUAAAUAAUGACCUUGUGAUUUGGAGCGUCUUUAAUGUAAACACACUUAGCAUAUUCAUUUAUCGUAAACCUGUUUGCCAACAUGGUUUGAACAAACUUUGCAUGCCACAAUUUGAGUGCUUGUUUUAGUCAAUAAAGUGACUUAACAAGUUUGCACACUUUCUUUUCCUUACCAGGAACCACAAAACCCUUGGGUUAUUCCGUGUACAUUUCUUCCUCCAAUUCUUUAUUUAGGAAUACUGUUUUCAUAUCUAUUUGAUGGAUUUUAAAAUCAUAUACCACCGCCAAGGAAACUAACAUCUGAAUUAACAUUAUUCUUAUUAUAGGAGAGUAUGUAUCAAAAUAAUCAAGGCCUUCCUUUUGUUUGAAGCCUUUUACUACUAGUCUUGCCUUGUAUUUGUCAAUAGUACCAUCCACUUUCAUUUUCUUUUUGAAGAUCUAUUUAAAACCUAAAGGUUUAUUUCCUGAAGAAAGAUCAUCUAACUCCCAAGUAUGGUUGCUCAAGAUUGAAUCAAUCUCACUAUUGAUUGCCUCUUUCCAAAGGGAUGGGUCUGAAGACGACAUUGUUUUUUUAAAUGUUUGGGGCUUAUUUUCUAGGAGAAAUAUUACAAAAUUCAAUCCAAAGAAAGUUGACAUUCUUUGAUAUGUACUACGCCUUAGAUUCUCAUUAUUAUGUACAUUCUCAUUUGAUUCAUAUCGAGGUUGUUUAGAUCGUCCACUAGACUGCUCAUGUCUAGUUUUAUACGGAUAAAUGCAUUUAAAGAACUCAAUAUCAUCGAAUUCAAUUAUCGUAUUUUUAUUGAUAUCUAGAUGUUAGGAUUUAUGAACUAAAAACAGACAUGCUUUACUGCUUUUAGCAUAUCCAAUGAACACGCAGUCCGCAGUUUUAGGUCAUAUUUCACCCUUUUAGGUAUAGAAAUUUGGCCUAUCGCUAAACACCUCAACACUUUGAAAUAUUUUAAGUUAGGUUUCCUUUCUUUCCAUCUUUUAUAUGAAAUUAUUAGUGUCUUACUAUAGGGCACUCUAUUGGGUAUUUGAUUAGCUGUAAGGAUAGUUUUCUCCCAUAAUUCUUGUCGUAAACCUGAAUUAUAAAUAAGGCAUUCAUCAUUUUCUUUAAGGUUUGGUUCUUCCUUUCCACAAUCUCAUUAGAUUGAGGAGAAUACGGGACAAUAGUUUGAUGGACAAUUCCUUUUCCACACAUAUUUUUGCAAAAGGAGAUUCAUAUUCUCCACCCCUGUCACUUGUUAUUGUUUUGAUCUUUUUCUCUAACUAAUUUUCAACUUCUGUUUUAUAUUGCCUAAAUGCAUCUAUUGCUUCAUCCUUACUAUUUAGCAAAUAGAUAUAACAAUACCUAGUGCAAUCGCCAAUAAAAGUUAUAAAAUACUUUUUCCACCAUUAGAUGGUGUUGACUUCAUAUCACUAACUUCUGUGCGGAUUAAGUCUAAGAGAUUGGAAUUCCUUUCAACGAACUUAUACGGAUUCUCAUCAUACUUUUAUUCCACAAACAUUUGAUAUUUUGAUUUAUUGCACUCAAAAUUUGACUAAACUUCUAAGUUAAUCAGUUUUCGCAAAGUUUUGUAAUUGACAUGUCCUAAUCGCUCAUGCCACAAUUCAUUAUACUCAAGCAAGUUAGAAUAAAUAAGACUUUUAUUGAUUUCAACAUUCAUCUUAAACAAACCCUCGGUGCGGUAGCCUUUUCCUGCAUACACUUUUCGUUUGCUAAUUACAACCUUGUCUAACAUAAUUACACAUUUGAAUUCAUUUUUGGUCAGAAGUGAUAUGGAAAUCAAGUUCUUUCAACGUCCAUUAUUUGACCUAAUUGAGACAUGUUUUUCAAUUGAUGACCAAGUUAUUCUCGUGAUUCUCAAAAUAAUUGCCUUAAUUUUGAAAGAAGGCUUCAACAUGGUCACCAAAUGUCUCAACACUCUACUAAUUUCUCAGAUGCCUUUUUUCCUAACUUUAGCCCUCUGAUUCAAUGCUUCAUUAUUAAACUUCAUUUUAAGAUUUGGCUGAAAAUUUUACAGGCAUGUCAUAUCACUAGAACCAACAUAAAAUGUAUUGUGUAAAGAAGAUAAAUAAACAAAUCAAAAUAAAACAAACAAAUAUACCAUAUUUAAUUGAAAGGAAAAAUAGAAGCAUUUGAACAAAGACAAAAAAAAUAAAAAAUAAAACAAUAGAUCCCGAACUACAACCUUGAAGUAAUUCGGAUAACAUAAAGGAAAACAAAACAAACUACCAAACAUCCAUCCUAGCAAGGAGAGAAGUGAGUUCCCAAUUGCUAAGCUUGACAUCUUAGCCGCUGAUUUUCAUAUCAUCAUGACUAGAGCUUUCCUUACUGUCAAUUUUCUACACCAUAAUUGAUUUAUCUUAAAUCAUCUUUUUAAUUUCUCUUUUCAAAUCCCAAUAAUCUUCAAUACUAUAACCCUGAACAUCAUAAUGAUAUGCAUAUCGUACAUUAGAAUCAAAAUUUCUUAAACGUGGAUUAGGAGUGUGCCUAAGGAGAGGAGUGAUCAUGCCCCACUAUACCAAUCUCUGAAAUAAAUUGGCAUACGACUCUCCAAAUUGGUGUGAAGCUAUCUCUCUACUUCUGCCUCAUUUCAUUGUCUUAGAUCGAAAAUUGAGCCUAGAUAGGAUUUGGGAUAUUUGUGAAGUUAGAGGAUGACUUUCUGGAGUUGGUAUAUAUUGUGGGUAAGAUGGGGGUUGAAUAUGUGGUUGUGCAUUAUAUACUAGAUAUAGAGGUCGGGGAAUAUAGUAUAAGAGAUUUUGGGAGUGAUUAUGUGGAGCUUGGGUAUGAACUUGGGCUUGAUCCUAAGAGUGAUGAUGACGUGGUCUUCUUGACCAUUCCCACUGUCCAACUACAAUAGCAUAUGCAUCUUCCUCAUUCUUCUUCCCUACAACACUUUCUAAACCCUUUUGAAUUGCUUGAGUAGUCACUUUUAAUGUUACAAAAAUCACAAUGCGACCGGUCUUAACUCUAUCUUCUAUUAUCUCCCCCAUUUUAAGGACCUCAAUAAACGACCUGCCUAAUGCAGGUAACAAGUGUUGAUAAUAGGUGUCGUCCUGUGCUUGAAUAAAUACCUCCACUAUCUUACUUUAUUUCAUUGGCGAUUUCACCCUAGCAGCUUGUUCACGCCAUCUAAUCUCACUCCCUGAAACUUUUUGUACUCUUCUUCUUGAUAUUAGUUAAGAAUUUCUCAUCAGGAAUCAACUCCACAUUGUAUUGGAAUUGUUGCACGAAUUCAUUAGCUAGGUCAUCCCAACUAUUACACUUGUCGAUGUCUUUUUCAACAAACCAUUCUGAAGCUAUGAUACAAGAAUGACCAAGGAACACACAAAACACCCUCCAAAUCAGUCCACUAAUCUUAAGGAUUCGAGGACCUUUUUGGAGACCACUCUCGAAUUCACUACCAACAAUAAGAAUACAAGAUAAAAUGGUGUAUAUAACACCAAAACAACAACAAUAACAAGAGUUAAACAACAAUAAGAGGAUGAACACAAUACACAAGUUUUGGAUUCCACAAUAACAACAAGAUCUCACGGUUACGACAACAAACAAAGAAAUGAUUACAAUAAAUAAAAGGGAUAGAUAGAUAGACCAAAGGUUGGUAUAAUCUUAAGAACCCAAUAACCUAUUCCAAUCUUGGACCCUUAACACCACACACAACAUUCACCUAUAUCCUAUGUAUACACAAGAUCGGAAUCCACCUCCCAAGCAUCAACGUUUCCAAGCCAUGAGAUCAACAAGAGUGAUUGCCUAGUUUCUGUUUUUCCUCCAAAGAGAAGAGAGGACUUGUGUUUCUUUAUGUCUUAUCACUUACAACAUCAUGAAUAAUCUAAAUAAUGAAACCCUAAAAGUUUCUAUUUAUAGUUAUUACAAAAUAAAAGCUAAAAUGUCCAAAAUACCCUUUAAGAGCUAGGUGCCCUUCAAGUGUAUUUAGGGGUUGCCUUGUGUUACAAGGAUCCUCUUUACACUUCAAGUGCGGGAUUAGGUUUGGUUUGGUGUAUUUUAAGUCCUUUACUCGCAAACUCCAAGUCUCGGGUUCAUUACGUUCUCACAUGCGUCCUUCUCCAUGGUUGUACUUGUAUUAUCCCCCCUCCUUAAAAAGGACUCUACCACGACUCCAUGCCUUGCAAAAUUAAAGAGAGACAAACAAGAACAUUUCCUUAUGGUAUGAGGGUUAGGGUUAGAAAAAUAAACAACAAUGGUAUACACCCAAAACACUCAAAAUAGUCCACACCAAAAAAAGAAACCAAGGACCUUUUGAGUUUAAGUAUCGGCCAACAACGAGUCUCGACAUGCCAAGGUGGUUAAUAUUUGACAUAUAACCAAGAGUCCUUAGCAUUAAACAUUAUGAAUCCAUCGACAACUUCACCAAGGUCUUGGCCAUGAUAAGCAUAAAAAAAAGUGCACCUAAGCCGAGAGCAAAUCUUCCCCACCCUAAGAUGGCACCGAGAUUAAAUUGGAAGUGGGGCCAUAGACACGGGUCUAGAAAACACUCCCAUUUCCUAUAGACUUUUCCACAUAUACAUGGCCUACUCUCUAUAUUGGAAAAGAUAUCAUCACAAGAAAAGAGAGAGUAAAGAAAGAUGGCAUUAAAGUCCACUUCUACUAUGGUGUCCUUGGGAAAACCACAUAAAGAAGAAGAAGAAGACAUCAUUUUCGACACUACACAUUCCUUGCCCGUAAAAGUACUCUCAUCUUCCAAGAAGAGAUUUCCAUCUAGAGAAAGAAUGUUGUCACACCAUAAUGGGUUGGCAUAUAGGCUAUAGCCUCUAAGACAAGCUAUGCCAUCAACUUCACUCACACCACUAGGUUCCUUAGAAGUGAUUAAACUAUCUUCAAACAAGACAUUGUACCUAAAAAGAGAAAUAUCUACCCCGUGGAUAAAUUUGGGAUAAGAGAGAUCACUCUCUAUAAGUUCACUAUCAAGUUUCAAAUACGUUUCAAUCUCCUCUCUAAGAGGUAAAGUCGAAACUACACACCUUUGGCCCUUACUAGCCACAUCACAACAAUCGACAUUUAUGGUAGUGCAGGAAGUAGUGCCUUUACCUUAUAGCUCAUACGAGCUAUGGUCUUUAACAUAGUGUGGGUUGGGGCAACCCACCUCUUUCAUCGGUUAGCUCUCAUAACAAGGUAUUUGAACCUUAAGUUUUGGACUUUAUGAGAUAAGCAUGGAUACCAAUUGGCGUAGCCUUUCAACGUGUCAUUUCAUAUCUUCGAUAUCAUCAUUGAUGCGAUCAAACGUGGCAUCGAGAUUAUUGGCAGCCAUGGUAUCUAAAAUAAAGACAACAAUAAACAAAGAAAACAACUAGUUAGUUCAAAAAGCCUCACCACACUCUCACUCGUAGUUUUACCUCACACUUGGUUUCACAAGUGUUGAAAACCGGCUUGUACUUCAUGAGUGAUUGAGGGAUGAGUCCACCUUAGUCCAGAAUAGAUUUUUGUUUUACUAGAAUCAAAGAAAAUUCAUUUCGGACUCGAACCAACAAGAUACAAUGACUUUACAAAAGAGAAAAAGCACACAAGGAACAUAGACACGAACAACGAAUUCAAUAACUAAGUGACAACCUAGUAGAAGUUUACUAGCUUGUUAAUUAGUACUAGGAUCAAUUAAAUGAAACGAAGGAUCAACAAAUAAGAAACUAAGAAAUAUAAAAUAUGAGCUCAAAAAUGUUGGAUGAACAGUGACAAUGAUGAUGUGGCAGCCACGUAUUGGUUUGGUUUUAUCAAGUUGUUAUUCUCAAAUGUUCAAGUCUUGGUUAAAAUUAAUUUGGAUUGGUGGAGUUUGUUUUAGGAGGGAAAGUAAGUCUUGGAUUCUUUUUCAAUUUCCAAUCUUCAAGACUUGACUUUUGUAGUACUUUUCCUUAAAACAUAGACCUUUUUUUUAUGAAAAUUUGUUGGAAAGUGAUUGAGAUGUGAUUGACUAGUUGGUAAGUAAUGGUAAGUCUUUCAAGGCUAACAAAGCUUCUCUUUUCCUUAACCUUUAAAGAUCUAAUGUUCACUUUAUUUCAACAAGGUGUGAAGGUUGGGAAGAACAUCAAAAAAACUUCAACAACCACCAAGAACAACCAACAACAAUUGCAAAGAUUCACAACAAAACCACACAGCCAACUCUAAUACAAUAAUGUUUCACACGGCCAAGACUACCAAACCACCCACAAUGGCCAAGUCUCUUUAGUGUUGCAUUUCGGUUUUAAUAAGAAAUGAAGGUUGCGAUAAACAACAAGACCACAACAAAAACCUUUCAAGAUCUACAACAACACCACAACAAUAAGGCCUUCAACACGGUCAAGUCUAGAACAAUGACACAACACACGGCCGCACUUUUUGUUCACAAUAACAAUUUCAACAAGUUCAAACUCAAGUCUAGAUCGACUCAAAGUGUUAGUGAAGAACAAAACUAACACUAAAAAUACACAAGACAAGUAAAAAGACUCCUAGACCUAGACUCAAGAACAAAUUUCAGCCAAGAACAAAAAAUGGACAUAUUUACUUCUUUUUGGAUUUUUCAGUUUUCAACACUUUUUUUAAAAUUUUUUAACUCUUAAACCCAAGAUUGAUCUUGUUAGAACAAAAUCAAAGAUGGAUUUGAUAUCAAGUGAUACAAUAAUGACCAAGGAACACAUGAAACACCCUUCAAAUCAGUCCAUUAAUCUUAAGGAUUCGAGGACCUUUUUGGAGACCACUCUCGGAUUCACUACCAACAAUAAGAAUACAAGAUACAAUGGUGUAUAUAACACCAAAAUAGCAACAAUAACAAGAGUUAAACAAUAAUAAGAGGAUGAAAAAGAUGAACACAAUACACAAGUUUUGGAUUCCACUAUAACAACAAGAUCUCACGGUUACAACAACAAACAAAGAAACGAUUACAAUAAACAAAGGGGUUAGAUAGAUAGACCAAAGGUUGGUAUAAUCUUUAGAACCGAAGAGCCUAUUCCACUCUUGGUCCCUUUACACCACACACAACGUUUACUUAUCUCCUACGUAGACACAAGAUCGAAAUCCACCUCCCAAGCAUCAACGUUUCCAAGCAUGAGAUCAACAAGAGUGAUUCCACACUUUCUAUACCUAGUUUUGGUUUUACCUCCAAAGAGAAGAGAACUUCUGUUUCUUUAUGUCUUAUGAAUUACAACAUCAUGAAUAAUAUAACUAAUGAAACCCUAAAAGGUUCUAUUUAUAGUUAUUACAAAAUAAAAGCAAAAAUGUUCAAAAUGCCCUUUAAGAGCUAGGUGCCCUUCAAGUGUAUUUAGGGGUUGCCUUGUUGUGUUCAAAGGCUACUCUUUACACUUCAAGUGUAAGAUUAGGUUUGGUUUAGUGUGUUAUAAGUAUUUUACUUGCACACUCCAAGUCUCGGGUUCAUUAUAUUCUCACAUGCGUCUAUCUCCGUGGUCGUACUUGUAUCAAGCUAGACCUGAAAGACUCUCACCAAAAUAAGCCAUGAGUAAUUCUUUCUUUCCUCCAUUUAUAAUAACACCUUAAAUGUGCCACUGGGUCUCCAUGUCCGUUAUAUUUCUCAAAAUUUAGCAUUUUAAAACCAAGAGGGAGAUUAACACCUGGAACAUGCACAGAUCUUUAUACGAAACACUUUGGGUCUUUGGAAAUUCUUCAUAACCAGUUUCAAACUUCUCAAUUUUCUGGUCAUUUCUUCUUGUUCUUCUAUCAUAACAGGUUUCUCAGUGUUAAGUGGAAAUUUAGGAGGUUGAGUGUAGCCAUAAGGAUCAGUCGACUUAAAUAUGGGCUCGGGAGCAUAAUAUUGAUUACCAAAAAUAUUCAAUACAUGCUCUCCCAUAGAGUAGAGAGGCGCAACCGGUGCAUGGACAUCAAAAGUAGGAGCUUCAGGUGGGGGUAGGGGUGCAAUAUCUUAAUAGUAGGUGGGGCGGAGUAUGCGGUAGUUUUGUGUUGAGUAGUGAGGAAAUGAAUAUUGGAAGUGUUUGGAUAGUGUUGCCUCAGAGUAGACCCUAAUGUAUAUUAUGGCGUGUCAACAAAAAUGAAAAAUUAUGCAUAUGACACGGGAGGUAAAAUAGAAAGAUAUUCCAGAUUAUCAGUAGGAACUGGAAGAGGCGGCAACCCAUUAGGCCAAGCCCCCAAACUCCCUAUCUAAUUAGUGACAAUAACCUUGGUAUUUUUGUUGGCCAUAACUUUCUCUUUGACUUGGUGCAAUAUGGAGGACCAGCCAAAAUGUCACAAACCAACCACCUUAAAUAACUGAAUAGAAUAUAACAAAUGUGUUCGAGUUCAACACUUUUUCAAAACCUUUGUUUUAUUUUUUAUUUUUGAAAAAGAUCACCGAACUCAAGAAGGGAGCCUACGUAUCUCACUCCCGAGAGAUGAGAAAUAGGUGUGCGUUGUUCGUGAAGUUUUGACAUAACAUGACCAAUCAACCUCUCUUUCUUUUUCUUUUUUUUUUCUUGAAACUUUAAAAAGAAAAAAAAUAACAAAUUGUCAAAAGAAUUGACAAAAAUUAUUUUGAAUUUUUUAGCUUCAACAUCCCUAGACAAAAUGAAACCUAUGAUUAUCAAAGAAAAAUCUUUUUGAAUAUUUGAUUUUGAAUUUCAUACGAAAAUGAAACUUAAACCUAUUAAAAAAAUUCGUAGUUUUCUUUUAAAAGAUGUACAUGAUACCUACUCUAAAUGAAGAGUGAAAUUUUUUUUUUUGAAUUUUUUAAAUAAAAUCACCGAACCCUAAAAGGGUUGCCUACGUAUCUCGCUCCCGAAAGAGGAGAAUCAGGUGUGCCUAGUUCGUCCAUAUUGGACAAUUAAUUAAUGAUUAAAUAACAAACUAAACCUUGACUUAGGAGACACGACCAAAGACAGAUGAUGAAAAACGUCAGUAACAUCUUUUGAAUUUUCAAUUAGACACUCCACAUAAAACUGACUCCAACAACUAUGAAAGAAAAAUCAUUUUUGAUGUUUUCAUUAUAUAAAAUGUACAAAACUUCUACAUUUUUUUUUAAUUUUUUCUUUAUAAAAAGCUUCUAUUGAAAAAAAUUCUUUUUUGAAAAUUUCAAAUUAUGAAUGUUUUCUAAAGGAAACAAAGGCAAAAUCUUUUUGAAUUUUUGGACUGUGAAAAACAAUAGCCAUAAAGAACUCUAAAAACUAUGAAACUCUUUUUUUCCACUCUUUUUCUUUUUCCUUUUUUUUUCAACCUUUCUUUGCCUACACACUUUUCUUUAAUUCUAACACAUCUUUUCCCCAAAUCAGUCCGUCAAAUGGCCCUAUUCUCCUCAAAGAAGAAACAAUUUGCAUGUUAGGAUGCUUUAGGGGUGAGUCUCCUACAAAGGACCAAGUGGGUCCUGCUAGGUCUCAAUAUAAUGCAGAUAAGAAUAACCUAAAGGCUGACCUACAAUGAGGUCCACCAAAGAGGCUAUUUUGGGGAGUGUAUGGUCGAUAGUGGCUACGAUAGCUUUCCACCUACUCUAUACCAGCCGAUGGCUCCCCCUCUUAAAAUAAGGGUGACUCAAUUAGAGGUCGUGUACUACAGAUUUGUUGCGAAAGAAAUGACUCGAGUAAUACAAAUGAUGACAGAUAUAAAGCGAUAACACAUAAGAAAAAUCUGGCAUGUAGGCACUCAAAAAUGAUUAAAAAACAACAAAAACGAUAACACAAACAACGUCUAUACACCCAUAAUGUCAAACUAAGCCGAUAUAACUCAAAAAAUAAACUCAAAUUCUGAAAAAUCCCCAGCGAAGUCGCCAGAGCUGUCCCACCCUUUUUUACCAAAAAGAUAAUUUUAUUUUAAGUUUGAAAGGAUUUUUAUUAUUAAGUGACAAAAGAUAAAGUUAUUUCAAAAAAAAGGAUUCUGUUAUAUUUUUAACUUAGAGUCGCCACUUGACAAAAAAUCAGUGUGCCAAGUCACCUUUGAAAAUCUUUUUUAAAAUAAUUUUGACUCUUUAAACUAAUUUACGAACAUAAAUUUCGGCUAAGGAAUUCUCUUGACCGAGGGGAAGGUGUUAGGCACCCCUUGGACUCGUGGUUCGACCAUGGUCACUUCGUAGAAUAUAUCAGCUAGUAUGAUGCUAUGAAGUGAAUAGACCAACAAAACACAUAAAACAAGCAAACAAACAAAUCAAACAAAAUUCAAAACUAAGAUAAUGUCCAGUCCGAAUUAUAUAGUCCCAAAAAUAAAAUAAUGCAAAAAUGUAAAUCAUAUUCUAAACCAAUCCUAGAUUACUCUCUACCCGAUGCCUCGAACCUUUAUCACAAUCAUCUUUCGCCAACAUAAUACAUCAGGGCAUUCUCCGGCAAAUAAAUACAAAUGGCCUCAAGGCAUUCCCCGGCUAAAUGAGUACAUUUUUUCAAUGUGAGAAAACCAACACCAUUCAACAAACAUUUCAAACAUUCAUAAUUUCACAACCCCAUAAGUUUUCCUACCCCCUAUCAUUUGCCUAACGAUUCAUGACCUAAAAUAUGAUACUAUCGAACUUAACAAAGUCGAUGCUUAUUCUGAAUCAAGCAAUCACCUAAGAACCAACAUAAACCAAUAUUCACUUUUAAAAAUUUCCAAUUCUUGUUCUAAUUUAUUUCCAAUUGAGUUUAAGUCAUGCUUGACUAAUUAAUCAAUUUCAAUUAAUUAAUCAAACCGCAACAAUUAGCAUUGCUCAACCACACAAUCAAAAAUCAUAUUAUCAACAAAUCAUAUCAUUAACCACAUCACUUUAAUAAAAAAAAAUAGAGUUGAGAAAUGAACCUCGGAAGAAGCUUUCAAAAUUGAUGUAUUAUUCCACUUAAACUCGAUAGAAUCCGCGUCUGAAACCUCGACUCAACCUCAAUACGCAUUCCAAAUCAACCCUUUGACUCAAACUUUUUUUCCCAAACCAGGUUACUUUUCGAUGCGUGUUGGCGUUGGGAUAGACCGAUCAUUAUUGUUCCUGGUGAGGAUUGAUGAGAAUGGGGUAGUGGUCGUUUUUCGACAAAGAUAGAUUUUUUGCCGAUGGAUUUUUGAUCAAAAAAUAGGAAAGAUCUUGGGAUGGGUCAAGUCGGCGUGUUUAAGCCAUUUCUAAUGGUGAUUUUAGGAUGUUUUUGAUGAUUUAGCAGUGGUGGGUUGGCGUAUUCCGACGAGGGUUCGCCGAAAAAACUAUCUCUCUGCCUUUCUCCUCUUCUCCCUCGUCCCUUAGUUUCUUUCUUCCUCAAUCUCUCUCAAAAAUUCACCCCAUUCUCUCCGAUUGAAUAUGUAUAUCAGUGUGUCGGGUGAAUAUUGUGAGGUCUAGUGUAUUCUUUGUGAGUACACGUUAGUGGAGAACAAAAGAAAUAUAGAGUGUGUAAUGGUGUGUUAUGGUGUGGAGCGUAUAUAUAUGUAAGAUAUGUAUUGUGAGGCAGACUCUUCCAAAAUGUAUAAAGGGGUAAGAGGUAGGGGUUAUGUGGGUAGGGGUAGGAAGUUGGGGUGGUUAAGUAGGGUAGUGGGGUGGUAAAUUUUGAUUGGGUGGGUAGUUAAUUUGUUAGGGUGAGGUGUCAAAGUUGUUAGAAAUUUUGUUAUUUUUGUGUUUUUAUGAAAGAAUUAUAGAAUGGGGUGGGGUGCAUGGUAAGGUUAGGUUAAUGAAUAAAAAUAACAUCGGAGAGGGACAAAAUUACGUGUCUACACACAACACUCUCACUUACUUCCUUAAAAAACAAUAAGUCGCUUUUGGACAAUUGUUCAUCAUUUAAAAGGGGCUUGUCCUCUCUUUCUCUUUUGCUUGGUCUGUAUAAGGGAUACCUUGUUACUCUCCCCAAAUUUGUUGCCUGGCCCUGGAUAGCUUUCUUUUACUGCAUUUUUUUGCUAUAUGUCAACUAUUUUGUCUAUCUUGUAUUUCUUGUUUUGCUUUUGUGCUUUUUGAUUAUGCCAACGGGGAAGAAAAAUCCCUUUAGUACAGGAAGCUGGCUACAAGCCAGGAGAAGUUUGCUGCAGAUGUAAAGGAGCUAGCUACAAGAUAGGGGGAGCUUCUAGAACAAAUCAAUAAUAUUUUGUGAUGGAGAAAAAUGUGAACAAAACAUGAAAAAAAUCAAUUAAGGCGACCUUAGAUGAUCUGGGAUAUUUCUCAAGUAAGGAACCAAAAGAUCUUCAUAUAAGGAAACGAUCUCUGCGAGCAAUUAGAGGAGAAAUCUUUGGACAAAGCAAUAUUACAAUAAUACUAAAUAUAGAAAAGGAACAUAUUUCUUACAUAGAUAUAUCUGGUAUGGACGUCUAUGAAUUUGGUACACUAAGUCAGCAAAGAAAAAACACAUCUCAUACGCGGACAUAUCUGAUAUGGAUGUUAUAAGAGAUGAAUUCUCAAUCAAGGAAUCUCUACACAUCCAUGAUUGAACAAAAAUUCCUUAAGUUUUCCUUUUAGAGAUGAAGACUAUAUAAUGAUGAUAAAAGAAGAAGACAACUUGCACAACUUCACAGGAAACUCCUAGUGUGUCUCAAUCUUUAGUCUUUAUAAAGCUUUAUAAUUUUCAAUUUACAGUAGUUACAAAAAAAAACAAGAUCAAGUCAACUCAGUUACCCCAAUUGAGGCUGUGUCACAAGAUCUAAAUAACAAAAUAAGAUUCAGAAAUUAUACAAUCCAUCUGUAAUUUGACUCUCUCAUUGAAAGCUCUAAAGGAAGCCCUUAUAACCCAAGGGGACUGGAGUAGGCACCACAUCGAUGAUUCGAACUAAGAUAAAUCUCUUUUACUUACUUAUUUACUUAUGAUUUUAAUUUCAUUCCAUUAUAUUUAAGUAUAGUAACCUGGCAGUGAGUUGACUGUCAAGGUUGAUCAGUCGAUUCAUAAAAAGUUUUCAAUUCACCCCCCCCCCCCCACUGAAUUUCAGAAUAAACUAGAGGAAAUAUAAAAGAUGGAUAUGUGUUUAUCUUGACAGUAAAAUUUGUAUAUGAGUUCAUGAGCACACUCGUUAAAUCUAACUGUGUUUAAAUCCAUUUGCCAAUGAAUUGAUUAUGUAGGUAACGAAAGACAAUAUACAUAAAACUAAAGGAAAUAAAGUAAAACAAUAGUAAUAAAUAAAUCAAUGAAAUGGGGUCCUGAGAUAGCAAGAGCUCCUUCCACGAGAGCUCAAACGAAUAGGAGAGUAAAGCAAGAAAGUAAACAGAGAAAAUAAUGCUUUGAAUAUAAGUUAAGAGAGUAUUGUAUUGCAUUAGGCAUGAUUCUAGAUGCUUUAUAAGUGAAGGGUAAUCCCUAUUUAUAGGGUACAUAUAAUGAAUGAUUAGUAACCAUUCAGAAAGUGUUUUUUCAUAGUACUAUAGCCAAUAACAUAAUGCCAAGUAUCCUAUCUAUUGCAGGUGCCAGUCGAUAUUCUCUGCAGAGGUGAAUACAAUAUGCGUCUGCGUAUCUGAUGAUCUCUAAUGCCAUUGCCCCCUAUCCUUUUCCUUCCACGUCAUAUCCUCAUCCUUUGAUGAGGGUGUUUCCUUCAUAAGGUGUCUCUCCUGAGAUGUCAACAGAUGGAGGUUCCAUCGAUGGUGUCGUGCAAGGCUCUUUAUGUAGUACUCACUGACGAGAGGCUCCCUUGCUCCGUUCUUCAACCCCAAGGAUCUUUACCCAAUCUAUUGAAUGUUGUUGCAAAAAAUACUUAAAGUUAUUGCACAGUGUGCUAUAACUAUCGAGGCAAAAAAAAUUGCAACAACAAAAAAAAACUAUUGUUGAA
rnacentral:lncRNA from 1 species